rnacentral:rRNA from 1 species
AUUGAACGCUGGCGGCAGGCUUAACACAUGCAAGUCGAGCGGGGAAAGGUAGCUUGCUACCUGACCUAGCGGCGGACGGGUGAGUAAUGCUUAGGAAUCUGCCUAUUAGUGGGGGACAACAUUCCGAAAGGAAUGCUAAUACCGCAUACGCCCUACGGGGGAAAGCAGGGGAUCUUCGGACCUUGCGCUAAUAGAUGAGCCUAAGUCAGAUUAGCUAGUUGGUGGGGUAAAGGCCUACCAAGGCGACGAUCUGUAGCGGGUCUGAGAGGAUGAUCCGCCACACUGGGACUGAGACACGGCCCAGACUCCUACGGGCGGCAGCAGUUGGGAAUAUUGGACAAUGGGCGAAAGCCUGAUCCAGCCAUGCCGCGUGUGUGAAGAAGGCCUUUUGGUUGUAAAGCACUUUAAGCGAGGAGGAGGCUACUUGGAUUAAUACUCUAGGAUAGUGGACGUUACUCGCAGAAUAAGCACCGGCUAACUCUGUGCCAGCAGCCGCCGUAACAC